rnacentral:lncRNA from 1 species
GGGACCUUCUCCUAAAAAUCAAAUUGGGGUGGUGGUGGUAGAGAGAGAGACGAGGUUCUUGUGAAAAUAAUGACACGGAAACGUUCUGGAUUGCAUCAAGACCCCAAUGUAUUGAGAAAGGCCCAAGGCUUAAAUGCACAAGCUAAAGGGGAAGUACAGAUACUUAUCAGCGGGAGGAGUGGGGCAAUACAAGCAAAAGGAGAAGUACUUAUCAGUGCGGGGGGGAGGGGGCAAUAGAAUUGCACAUUCUUUAGGCAGUUACUCGGGGAAGUAGGAACUUGGUGGUAUCAGGGUGUGGUCAGGACAUCAGCAAUGGUGUGUAGGUGGCCAGCUUUUGACCCCCUUUUCUUCUCAGGGGGAGAGGCCCAAUUUAGAGAUCAGGACAAUAGUGUUGUCUAAAUAGCUCCCAACAGAUGUGAAGUAAAAAUUUAUUUAUUUCCAGGCCAAUCCUGCAGUCUCCUCAGAAUUAGGAGAGAAUAGCAGCCCUGAGUGAAAAAAGAGGAAAUUUUAUAUUUAAACUCAAGGCCAAGGUUCAUAGUAGGCAAUUACAAAGUUAGAAUUGCUUUGCAGUUAAUAAUUUAGUUAAAAACCUGGCAGCUCUAAAACCAUACCAUGAACACUGGAAACAAUUUACACCCUGUAAAUCUCAAGAUUAUUGGGGAAAAACAAGUCAAAACGAAAAGUUGUCCUUUAACAUAGAACAUGAUUAGAGAAAAUACCAUAGUAAACAUAGGAAUUACUGAAUGUUUUUCUUUAGGAUUAAUUUGGAACAGGAAAAAGAAUAGUCUUUAACUGGCCCUUAAAAAAUAUAGUUUAGAGCUGGGCGGUGGUGGCACAUGCCUUUAAUCCCAGCACUUGGGAGACACAGGUAGGCAGAUUUCUGAGUUUGAGGACAGCCUGGUCUACAAAGUGAGUUCGAGGACAGCCAAGGAUAUACAGAGAAACCCUGUCUCGAAAAACCAUAUAUAUGUAUGUAUAUGUUUGGAUUGUUUAGAAUCCUUUUUAUUUUGAGACAGGCUCUCAUUUAGAAUGCAGCUGACCUUGACUCAGUAAAUAAACUACAAUUUAAAACACCUAUUGGAUCUGUAAUAAAGAGUAGUAUAUAUUUAAUCCUGUGUUUUGGGCCACCAUUACUUAAAUGAGAGUCUUCAAUACAAGAUGGACCUGAUUCAUGAUUUGGUAUUGGGUGGUUUAGAAGUAAAGGAGAAUGUUCAUAAAGGGGUUGCUUCUUCAGGGAAGUCUAUAAUUGUCAAUCUUGGGAUUAUUCCUAACUUCAAAGACACAGGACAGAUUAUAACUGCUCUAGAGAUAAAGUUUGAACAAUAUUCCAUCCUGGUUCCUAUAGUUGGAAGGGGUGACUUUCUGGGUUCUGACCUUCCAUACAACACGUGUGUAUAUUGACUUUUCUAUUGUUAUCAAAAAACACAGCAUGGACAAACAAAUUAUAACUUAAGAUAUAAAAUCAGGCUUACAGUGCCAAAGUGUUAGAGUCAAUCAUGGCAGCAUAAACACAUGACAUCAGGCAGAGAUGAGAAUUCAUAUUUUGAACCACAGGCAAGAGGUAGCUAGCGAUAUGGGCAUGGUCAGAAGAUGUUAAAACCUGAAAAUGUACCCAUGUGACAGACCUCUUGCAAAAGGGCCACAUGUAUGCUCUCUGUCCCAAAGAACUCCACAAACUAAACCUAAGUUUUCAAACAUAUGAGUCUAUGGGAACCACUCUCAUUUAACUACUACAAGUUUUUCUAGAAGUAAAAACUAUUUUUAUCUGACCACACUGUACCAUAUCCUUAAGAGAGCCAUUAUGUUUCCAACAUACAGUGUUAUAAUAAAACACACCUUACCAGAAAAAAAAAUCAGAGGAUAGGAAAGAAUGAACAGACCAAACAAGACCAAAAUUCAGCAGGGAAAACACCAAAACUUAUAGCUUCUUGUUCAGCAAUUUGAGAUUAUGAUGAAAUUGCCCUGACUCUAUGGUCUUAGGUAGUCCCACUCCUCUAGCUGUGUCACCUCCUGCAUACAUAGCUUCUUUUUUUAAAAAAAUAAAAAAAGAUUUAUUUAUUAUUUUUAUGUAAGUACACUGUACCUGUCUUCAGACAUCCCAGUAGAGGAUGUCAGAUGUCAUUAUAGAAGGCUGUAAGCCACCAUCUGGUUGUUGGGAUUUGAACUCAAGGCCUUCAAAAGAACAGUCAGUGUUCUU